rnacentral:rRNA from 1 species
UACGGGGGGGGGCAAGCGUUGUUCGGAAUUACUGGGCGUAAAGGGCUCGUAGGCGGCCAACUAAGUCAGACGUGAAAUCCCUCGGCUUAACCGGGGAACUGCGUCUGAUACUGGAUGGCUUGAGUUUGGGAGAGGGAUGCGGAAUUCCAGGUGUAGCGGUGAAAUGCGUAGAUAUCUGGAGGAACACCGGUGGCGAAGGCGGCAUCCUGGACCAACACUGACGCUGAGUGAGCGAAAGCCAGGGGAGCAAACGGGG